rnacentral:rRNA from 1 species
UCCAUGGGUGGGGGAUAACACUGGGAAACUGGUGCUAAUACCGCAUGACACCUGAGGGUCAAAGGCGCAAGUCGCCUGUGGAGGAGCCUGCGUUUGAUUAGCUAGUUGGUGGGGUAAAGGCCUACCAAGGCGAUGAUCAAUAGCUGGUUUGAGAGGAUGAUCAGCCACACUGGGACUGAGACACGGCCCAGACUCCUACGGGAGGCAGCAGUGGGGAAUAUUGGACAAUGGGGGCAACCCUGAUCCAGCAAUGCCGCGUGUGUGAAGAAGGUCUUCGGAUUGUAAAGCACUUUCGACGGGGACGAUGAUGACGGUACCCGUAGAAGAAGCCCCGGCUAACUUCGUGCCAGCAGCCGCGGUAAUACGAAGGGGGCUAGCGUUGCUCGGAAUGACUGGGCGUAAAGGGCGUGUAGGCGGUUUGUACAGUCAGAUGUGAAAUCCCCGGGCUUAACCUGGGAGCUGCAUUUGAUACGUGCAGACUAGAGUGUGAGAGAGGGUUGUGGAAUUCCCAGUGUAGAGGUGAAAUUCGUAGAUAUUGGGAAGAACACCGGUGGCGAAGGCGGCAACCUGGCUCAUUACUGACGCUGAGGCGCGAAAGCGUGGGGAGCAAACAGGAUUAGAUACCCUGGUAGUCCACGCUGUAAACGAUGUGUGCUAGAUGUUGGGUGACUUAGUCAUUCAGUGUCGCAGUUAACGCGUUAAGCMCACCGCCUGGGGGAGUACGGCCGCAAGGUUGAACUCAAAGGAAUUGACGGGGGCCCGCACCAAGCGGUGGGAGCAUKGKGUUAAUUCGAAGCAACGCSCARAACCUUACAGGCUUGAAUGUAGAGGCUGCAAGCARAGAUGUUUGUUUCCCGCAAGGAACCUCUUAAMACAGGUGCUGCAUGCUGGCGUCAGUYGUUCCUGRAAUGUUUGGUUAGGUUCCCGGUMG